rnacentral:rRNA from 1 species
GACGAACGCUGGCGGCGUGCCUAAUACAUGCAAGUCGAACGCAGUUGCGCACGGGUGAGUAUCGCGUAGGUAACUGCCUCAUAGCGGGGGGUAACUAUUUGAAAAGGUAGCUAAUAACGCCUACUUUGAGCUAGACCUGCGUUGGAUUGGCUAGUUGGUGCGGUAAAGGGUCACCAAGGCGACGAUACAUAGCCGAACUUGGAGGGUGGUCCGGCCACAUGGGACUGGGGAAAGGCCCACAACCCUACGGGAGGCAGCAGUAGGGAAUCUUUGGCAAUGGACGGAAGGCUGGCCGAGCAACGCCGGGGGAGUGAAGAAGGGUUUCGGAUCGGAAAGCUCUGUUGUGAGAGAAGCGGUAACUAACCAGAAAGGGCCGGCUAACUACGUGCCAGCAGCCGCGGUAAUAC